GUCUAUAACCAUGCUACCCUGAACAAGCCCAAUCCCAUCUGAUCUUGGAAGCUAAGCAUGGUUGGGCCUGGUUAGUAUUUGGAUGGGAGACCACCUAGGAAGACCAGGUGCUAUAGGCG
rnacentral:rRNA from 1 species